AAUGAACGUUGGCGGCGUGGAUUAGGCAUGCAAGUCGAACGAAUCCCGUAGCAAUACGGGGGAAGUGGCGAAAGGGGCAGUAAGGCGUGGACAACCUGCCCCGGGCUCCAGGAUAGCCUUCCUAACGGAUGGGUAAUACUGGGUACGCUCCCCUGAAGACAUCUUCGGGGGAGGAUAGCUCCGGCGGCCCGGGUGGGGUUCACGUGAUAUUAGCUAGUUGGGUGGGGUAACGGCCCACCAAGGCCGAGAUGUCAGCGGGUGUGAGAGCACGACCCGCGCCACUGGCACUGGGACACUGGCCAGACUCCUACGGGAGGCUGCAGUCGAGGGAUCUUCGGCAAUGGGCGCAAGCCUGACCGAGCGACGCCGCGUGAGCGAUGAAGGCCUUCGGGUCGU
rnacentral:rRNA from 1 species